rnacentral:rRNA from 1 species
CCUACGGGUGGCAGCAGUGAGGAAUAUUGGUCAAUGGGCGAGAGCCUGAACCAGCCAAGUCGCGUGAGGGAAGACGGUCCUAUGGAUGGUAAAUCCCUUUUGCAGGGGAGCAAAAAGCGGUACGUGUACCACAACGAGAGUACCCGGAGAAACAGCAUCGCCAAACGCCGUGCCAGCAGCCUCGGUAAUUCGGAGGAUGCGAGCGUUAUCGGGAUGUAGUGGGGUUAAAGGGUGCGCGGGCGGCGUGUUAAGUCAGCGGUAAAAGUUCGGGGCUAAACCCAGACGAGCAGUUGAAACUGGCAUGCUAGAGUGGGCGAGAGGUAAGCGGAAUGCGUGGUGUAGCGGUGAAAUGCAUAGAUAUCACGAAGAACACCGAUGGCGAAGGCAGCAUACCGGCGCCCAACUGACGCUCAGGCACGAAAGCGUGGGGAGCGAACAGGAUUAGAUACCCCAGUAGUC